UACGUAGGUCCCGAGCGUUGUCCGGAUUUAUUGGGCGUAAAGCGAGCGCAGGUGGUUUAUUAAGUCUGGUGUAAAAGGCAGUGGCUCAACCAUUGUAUGCAUUGGAAACUGGUAGACUUAAGUGCAGGAGAGGAGAGUGGAAUUCCAUGUGUAGCGGUGAAAUGCGUAGAUAUAUGGAGGAACACCGGUGGCGAAAGCGGCUCUCUGGCCUGUAACUGACACUGAGGCUCGAAAGCGUGGGUAGCAAACAGG
rnacentral:rRNA from 1 species